rnacentral:rRNA from 1 species
UAGGGAAUUUUCCACAAUGGGCGAAAGCCUGAUGGAGCAACGCCGCGUGCAGGAUGAAGGCCUUCGGGUCGUAAACUGCUUUUAUAUGUGAAGACAUCGACGGUAGCAUAUGAAUAAGGAUCGGCUAACUCCGUGCCAGCAGCCGCGGUCAUACGGAGGAUCCAAGCGUUAUCCGGAAUUACUGGGCGUAAAGAGUUGCGUAGGCGGCCAAGUAAGCAGAAUGUGAAAUGAUACGGCUCAACCGUAUCCCCAUGUUUUGAACUACUUGGCUAGAGAAUGGAAGAGGUCGCUAGAAUUCCUGGUGUAGGGGUGAAAUCCGUAGAUAUCAGGAGGAAUACCGAUGGCGUAGGCAGGCGACUGGUCCAUUUCUGACGCUCAGGCACGAAAGCGUGGGGAGCGAUCGGG